CCCCUAGUAAUGGCGAAUGAAGCGGGCGUAGCUCACGCUGCCAAUCUGGAGGCCGUUGUCUGUGCCUCCCGAAUUGUGGUCUAGGAAGGCGCCAUCGGCCGCGCGCGUCGCCGAAAUCCCUUGGAAGAGGGUAUCGGAGAAGGUGAGAAUCCUGUGCCGUGGCGCGUGGCGGCCUCACGAUGCGUCCUUGUCGAGUCGGGUUGCUUGGGAUUGCAGCUUGAAGUGGGUGGUAAAUUCCAUCUAAAGCUAAAUAGUGGCGAGAGACCGAUAGCGAACAAGUACCGUGAGGGAAAGAUGCAAAGAACUUUGAAAAGAGAGUCAAAGAGUGCUUGAAAUUGGCAGGAGGAAACCCGGUUGCGCCCGGCGUCGGCGCGUCGACUCAGCCGCGUGCGCGCUCGUCCUGUGCGGACCGCAAGGCCGCUUUGGGUUUGGUGUGUGUGCGGUGCACUUUGACGCGCCGGGUCAGCUUUCGCUGCGUGCUUCGUGAGAUGCCGUAGGGUGAGGCCUUGUGCGAUCCCAUUCGGAGCGUCGCGGCCGCGGCGGAUGUUUAGUUGAGCUGACGGAACGGGCGCCACCGACCCGUCUAGAAACACGGACCAAGGAGUCUGACACGUGUGCGAGUACCCGGGUGUGGAAUGCCCGCGUGC
rnacentral:rRNA from 1 species